rnacentral:rRNA from 1 species
AGUGAACGCUGGCGGUAGGCCUAACACAUGCAAGUCGAACGGCAGCACAGUAAGAGCUUGCUCUUACGGGUGGCGAGUGGCGGACGGGUGAGGAAUACAUCGGAAUCUACUUUUUCGUGGGGGAUAACGUAGGGAAACUUACGCUAAUACCGCAUACGACCUACGGGUGAAAGCAGGGGAUCUUCGGACCUUGCGCGAUUGAAUGAGCCGAUGUCGGAUUAGCUAGUUGGCGGGGUAAAGGCCCACCAAGGCGACGAUCCGUAGCUGGUCUGAGAGGAUGAUCAGCCACACGGGAACUGAGACACGGUACAGACUCAUACGAGAGGCAGCAGUGGGGAAUAUUGGACAAGGGGCGCAAGCCUGAGCCAGCCAUACCGCGUGGGUGAAGAAGGCCCUCGGGUUGUAAAGCCCUUUUGUGGGGAAAGAAAAGGAGCAGGUUAAUACCCCGCUGUUCUGACGGUACCCAAAGAAUAAGCACCGGCUAACUUCG